rnacentral:snoRNA from 1 species
UUUCCCAUUUGACUGCCACAUUUUCUCCUAGUGAUAGUUUUUAGUGGCUAUGCUUGUGGGAUAGAGUGAAGCUGCCGAGAUCUGAAGGGGGAAGAUUUCUCCGUGUCUUCCUUCUAUAUGAAACGGCCGGACAGAAAACG